ensembl:lncRNA
UUCUUUCUCCAGUCUUUUCUUUCUCCAGUCUUUUCUUUCUCCAGUCUUUUCUUUCUCCAGUCCAUUCUUUCUCCAGUCCAUUCUUUCUCCAGUCCAUUCUUUCUCCAGUCUUUUCUUUGUCCAGUCUUUUCUUUCCCCAGUCUUUUCUUUCUCCAGUCCAUUCUUUCUCCAGUCCAUUCUUUCUCCAUCUUUUCUUUCUCCAGUCCAUUCUUUCUCCAGUCUUUUCUUUCUCCAGUCCAUUCUUUCUCCAGUCCAUUCUUUCUCCAGUCCAUUCUUUCUCCAGUCUUUUCUUUCUCCAGUCCAUUCUUUCUCCAGUCCAUUCUUUCUCCAGUCCAUUCUUUCUCCAGUCCAUUCUUUCUCCAGUCCAUUCUUUCUCCAGUCUUUUCUUUCUCCAGUCUUUUCUUUCUCCAGUCUUUUCUUUCUCCAGUCUUUUCUUUCUCCAGUCUUUUCUUUCUCCAGUCCAUUCUUUCUCCAGUCCAUUCUUUCUCCAGUCCAUUCUUUCUGCAGUCCAUUCUUUCUCCAGUCUUUUCUUUCUCCAGUCUUUUCUUUCUCCAGUCUUUUCUUUCUUUCUCAGUCUUUUCUUUCUCCAGUCCAUUCUUUCUCCAGUCCAUUCUUUCUCCAGUCCAUUCUUUCUCCAGUCCAUUCUUUCUCCAGUCUUUUUUCUUUCUCUCAGUCCAUUCUUUCUCCAGUCUUUUCUUUCUCCAGUCUUUUCUUUCUCCAGUCCAUUCUUUCUCCAGUCCAUUCUUUCUCCAGUCCAUUCUUUCUCCAGUCCUUUCUUUCUCCAGUCCAUUCUUUCUCCAGUCCAUUCUUUCUCCAGUCCAUUCUUUCUCCAGUCUUUUCUUUCUCCAGUCUUUUCUUUCUCCAGUCCAUUCUUUCUCCAGUCCAUUCUUUCUCCAGUCCAUUCUUUCUCCAGUCUUUUCUUUCUCCAGUCUUU